rnacentral:rRNA from 1 species
UACAGAGGUCUCAAGCGUUGUUCGGAUUCAUUGGGCGUAAAGGGUGCGUAGGCGGCGCGGUAAGUCGGGUGUGAAAUCUCGGAGCUUAACUCCGAAACUGCAUUCGAUACUGCCGUGCUUGAGGACUGGAGAGGAGACUGGAAUUUACGGUGUAGCGGUGAAAUGCGUAGAUAUCGUGAGGAAGACCAGUGGCGAAGGCGGGUUUCUGGAGAGUUCCUGACGCUGAGGCACGAAGGCCAGGGGAGCAAACGGG